AUGACCAUGAUGGACUGGGGAGUAUUACCAUGUUGGACUGGGGAGUAUUACCAUGUUGGACUUGGGACUGGGGAGUAUUACCAUGUUGGACUGGGGAGUGUUACCAUGUUUGACUGGGGAGUAUUACCAUGUUGGACUGGGGAGUAUUACCAUGUUGGACUGGGGAGUAUUAUCAUGUUGGACUGGGGACUGGGGAGUAUUACCAUGUUGGACUGGGGAGUAUUACCAUGUUGGACUGGGGAGUAUUACCAUGUUGGACUGGGGGAUAUUACCAUGUUGGACUUGGGAAUGGGGAGUAUUACCAUGUUGGACUGGGUAGUGUUACCAUGUUGGACUGGGGAAUGGGGAGUAUUACCAUGUUGGACUGGGGAGUAUUACCAUGUUGGACUGGGGAGUAUUACCAUGUUGGACUGGGGAGUAUUACCAUGUUGGACUGGGGACUGGGGAGUAUUACCAUGUUGGACUGGGGAGUAUUACCAUGUUUGGACUGGGGAGUAUUACCAUGUUGGACUGGGGAGUAUUACCAUGUUGGACUGGGGAAUGGGGAGUAUUAUCAUGUUGGACUGGGGAGUAUUACCAUGUUGGACUGGGGACUGGGGAGUAUUACCAUGUUGGACUGGGGAAUGGGGAGUAUUAUCAUGUUGGACUGGGGAGUAUUACCAUGUUGGACUGGGGAAUGGGGAGUAUUACCAUGUUGGACUGGGGAGUAUUACCAUGUUGGACUGGGGACUGGGGAGUAUUACCAUGUUGUACUGGGGAGUAUUACCAUGUUGGACUGGGGAAUGGGGAGUAUUACCAUGUUUGACUGAGGAGUAUUACCAUGUCGCACUGGGGAGUAUUACCAUCCAUGUUGGACUUGGGAUUAUUACCAUGUUGGACUGGGGAAUGGGGAGUAUUACCAUGUUGGACUGGGGAGUAUUACCAUGUUGGACUGGGGAGUAUUACCAUGUUGGAAUGGGGAGUAUUACCAUGUUGUACUGCGGAGUAUUACCAUGUUGGACUGGGGACUGGGGAGUAUUACCAUGUUGGACUGGGGAGUAUUACCAUGUUGGACUUGGGAAUGGGGAGUAUUACCAUGUUGGACUUGGGAAUGGGGAGUAUUACCAUGUUGGACUGGGGAUUAUUACCAUGUUGGACUGGGGAGUUUUACCAUGUUGGACUGGGGCAUGGGGAGUAUUACCAUGUUGGACUGGGGAGUAUUACCAUGUUGGACUGGGGAGUAUUACCAUGUUGGACUGGGGAGUAUUACCAUGUUGGAGUGGGGAGAAUUACCAUGUUGGACUGGGGAGUUUUACCAUGUUGGACUGGGGAGUAUUACCAUGUUGGACUGGGGAGUAUUACCAUGUUGGACUGGGGAGUAUUCCCAUGUUGGACUGGGGAGUAUUACCAUGUUGGACUGGGGAGUAUUACCAUGUUGGACUUGGGACUGGGGAGUAUUACCAUGUUGGAAUGGGGAGUAUUACCAUGUUGGACUGGAGAGUAUUACCAUGUUGGACUGGGGAGUAUUACCAUGUUGGACUGGGGACUGGGGAGUAUUACCAUGUUGGACUGGGGAGUAUUACCAUGUAUGACUGGGGAGUAUUAUCAUGUUGGACUGGGGACUAUUACCAUGUUGGACUGGGGAGUAUUACCAUGUUGGACUGGGGAGUAUUACCAUGUUGGACUGGGGAGUAUUACCAUGUUGGACUGGGGAGUAUUACCAUGUUGGACUGGGGAGUAUUACCAUGUUGGACUGGGGAGUAUUACCAUGUUGGACUUGGGACUGGGGAGUAUUACCAUGUUGGACUGGGGAGUGUUACCAUGUUGGACUGGGGAGUGUUACCAUGUUGGACUGGGGAGUAUUACCAUGUUGGACUGGGGAGUAUUACCAUGUUGGACUUGGGACUGGUGAGUAUUACCAUGUUGGACUGGGGAGUAUUACCAUGUUGGACUGGGGAGUAUGACCAUGAUGGACUGGGGAGUAUUACCAUGUUGGACUGGGGAGUAUUACCAUGUUGGACUUGGGACUGGGGAGUAUUACCAUGUUGGACUGGGGAGUGUUACCAU
rnacentral:lncRNA from 1 species